GACCAUCAUUAACGGGGGUUUCUUAGCCAAAUCUUAACAAUAAUAUUGAAUUAAAUUAAAUGAGAAAGCUUGAUUUAUACUAAGAAACAAAUCUUUACGUUUCUUAGUUAAGAAACAAAAUCAAAGUUAAGAGACGUCCACGUGUUCUUUCUCUUCUCUCUCUCUCUCAAAUCACGAAAACGGAGAAACCUUCGCGAUUUCGAGAAAUCGACUGUGAAUGAACUCCGGCCGUCGUUCUUCCGUUAGCCCAUCAUCUCCAUCGACUCCGUUUGUCGUCGGCGUCUUCGGUUGUUGUAUUCGGAGAGGUUGGGUUGCGAAAUCGGCGAGGAGUUCUAGAGAUCGUCAAGUUCGGUGUCUACGCCGCUGUUCCCAUCGUCCCUAUGUAUACAUUCGCCAACAGUACCAAUAUCAAGAAAUUCAUGGGCAAUCUGGUGAGUCCAAGAGCUUGGUUAUCAGAUAUGUGCAAAGAGAGAUAUGAAGUGAAGAACCGUCGAAGAAAAAUAACUUAAAGAAAUAUUCAAGAUUUUGGUGAGGGGUAGAAAGGAUGUUUUUCGCUUUUUCAUUACAUUUUGAGAUGCCUCUCUUCAUUACUACAGGUUAACAAUGAGGCACUUGUAUUUUUGAUGAUGUUUUUGCUUUCAAAGCUAAUCUAUCUUCUUAAUCUGUCUCUUUUCUCACCUUUUGCUUGUUUUACUUGUUGAUCUGCAUAUAGACAAAUCAUGUACACAACAACGAUUCAUGAUGAGGAGUUCUAGAAUCUCCAUUUAGACA